CAGACGUAUACCGAGGUGCCACUGUAUAUUGUAGCAUUAAGUGUGUAGCGAGUAAGUUAAGUAAUAGAGCACGAAAUGAAACACUCCCCCAACUUCCUCCGCCAAUCUCCACCUCCGCCAGCAUCUUCGUCUGAUUUUUAAGGAGCGGAUAAUCGAAGGAGAGUGGAUACAGAGGGAUGCGUGCAGGGAAGGAGGGGGACGGAACGAGCGUCACGGCGCUUCCACUUCGGGUCGGCCCGGCAACCGUGCUGCUGUCGCUAUGACGACAAGGAGACGAGCUUCCCAGCAGCUAGCCCACAGAUGCCGAGAUCCGAGUUCGGCCAGGCGUCUACACAGACAUGACAGACUACGCCUGAGGGUUGAUGGCUGAAGCCUUGCGAUGGACUAGCGCCAUGUACAGGGUAUUUCUGCUUUCUGUUUCCAGUCUAGCGAAUGCCUAGCGGUUGAGGUUCUGGACUAGUAAUCGGAAGGUCGCUGGUCAGCGAUGAAGGGACACACCCUUCACCCCUUGUGCACAUUUAUCAGGACAUUGUAAAAUACAUUCGAUUAUUUAACUAUUUUAUUUAUUUAUAUUAGAAAUCUGUUUACUGAAGGACUUUAAAUCGGGGAAUUCACUGACCUAAUACACGUGCGCAGUAGUCAACCGCUUCUUUUCACCUGCACGAGGCAGGUUCACACAGGCAUCGGUAUAGCUUGACAAACGGAGAGCCACACACUGCUAUCCAUUAUUCCCUGUCUGUGCUUAGGCGCCCAGCCAGCAGAGGCCGCAAUCGUAUUAGCAGUGAGGAAUCCCUUCAUACCCUCAUGUCUGUGUAGGCGCCCGGCCGGCCGAUAGCAGAGCCGAGAUCCAAACUCAAGAGCUGAGCACUGCUACAGAUCGUAUUGACGUAUUAUUUAUAACGUCUAGCAUUAUGUGUUUGUUUAAGGUUCACGGAUUGUUUAUUAAAAUCCAUAUAAGUAUGUAAAAAUAUAUGUUUUAUUAA